rnacentral:rRNA from 1 species
GAUGAACGCUGGCGGCGUGCUUAACACAUGCAAGUCGAACGGAAAGGCCCAAGCUUGCUUGGGUACUCGAGUGGCGAACGGGUGAGUAACACGUGGGUGAUCUGCCCUGCACUUCGGGAUAAGCCUGGGAAACUGGGUCUAAUACCGGACAGGACGAUGGUUUGGAUGCCAUUGUGGAAAGUUUUUUCGGUGUGGGAUGAGCUCGCGGCCUAUCAGCUUGUUGGUGGGGUAAUGGCCUACCAAGGCGUCGACGGGUAGCCGGCCUGAGAGGGUGUACGGCCACAUUGGGACUGAGAUACGGCCCAGACUCCUACGGGAGGCAGCAGUGGGGAAUAUUGCACAAUGGGCGCAAGCCUGAUGCAGCGACGCCGCGUGGGGGAUGACGGCCUUCGGGUUGUAAACUCCUUUCGCUAGGGACGAAGCGUUUUUGUGACGGUACCUGGAGAAGAAGCACCGGCUAACUACGUG